GUGAAGGCCGACAGUAUGCCCAUAUUGUGAAGACCGACAAGCCAAGCUGGAGCUUGAAGUUCUUAAAGAGUUUAGCCUCAUAAUUGUUCUAUGAUCUAAAUGCAUGGGAAUCCUAAUCGGUGAACCUUGCUAAGAUGAUGUAACAGUAACAUUCGGGUGAUGGAAGCUCUUUAAUUUGGACAUGCUAAUGGAUGGAAAAUAUCUUGAUACCUAUAUUGUGAUUCAAACCAUGAGAUGCUAUUUGAACUGUGAUGAUAUUGAUCGUGGUGUGCAAACCCCUGAUGACUAUCUGAAGUUAGGGAAGCUUCCUGCACCAGAACUCAUAACAUAAAUGUGAUAUGGAGUUGUGGAGUUGCUAAGAUGAUGUAUCUCAUAACAUAAAUGUGAUAUGUAGUGAUGUGAAAAUGUUCGUUGGGCUUUGCCGCUAAAUUUGGCUCAGCAAGUGUAGUUGUUCUAGGAUAUCAAGGAGUUCUGACCUCCUUUCUCUCAAAAAAAAGGAUAUCAAGAAGGCACUAUUAAUUAAGACAAUUGCAGAUAAGGUUGCAGCAUAAAAGAGGCAAAGCUUGUAGACAAAAUAUUCCUAGGUUCUGUAUGCAUUAUUAUGUGGUUGCUUGAAGUUGGCAAUUGAUUAUCAUGUUUUACAGUUUUGAUCCUUGGUACCUUAAUUAUUAGUGAAAUGCACUUGUUUCUUUCAUAUGUAGAGAAAUCUGAAGUUGUAAUUGAAUGGUUUCUGGAAUUUUAUAAUUAAAUAUUUUGGAAUGAUUAAUUUUAUGCAUCUUUUUAUCUAA